UACGUAGGGUGCAAGCGUUUAAUCGGAAUUACUGGGCGUAAAGCGUGCGCAGGCGGUUAUGCAAGACAGAUGUGAAAAUCCCCGGGCUUAACCUGGGAAUGGCAUUUGGGACUGCAAGGCUGGAGUUUGGCAGAGGAGACUGGAAUUCCUGGUGUAGCAGUGAAAUGCGUAGAUAUCAGGAGGAAUACCGAUGGCGAAGGCAGGUCUCUGGGCUAUAACUGACGCUCAUGCACGAAAGCGUGGGGAGCAAACAGG
rnacentral:rRNA from 1 species